AUGCCGUCCGUAGAGGAGUUUGCUGCUGCUCCAUCGCAUGAAGCUUUAGACCAAUGCUCUAAGGAUCAGUUGCUUAAAAUAGCUGAACAUUAUGAAUUGCAAAUUUCUAGCAGCUUUGCUAAAGAUAAGGUGAAGGCAAUUGUUAGGAGUAAUAUAGCUGAAUCUGGCAUUUUGCCUGGAGUCGAAAAAACGGCUACAUCCUCUUUUGCCUCUGUGUCCAUGGAGGGGUUAUCUUUUCAGCAGAGGAAAGAAUUGUUACGGUUGCAAAUUGACCACGAGAAGUUUAAGGUCAGUGCUGAACAUGAGAAAGCUGUAACUUUAGAGAAGAUUCGCCAGGAGACCGAACAAGUUAGGUUGGAAUUUGAGCAUAAACUCCAAAUGGAGCGGGAGGCUAAGGUGCAUGCGCGGCCACACUCGAGGCUUGAAAGUGGUUCAGACGUCUCGAGUUUUGACGUGCUCGGUAAUGUACGUUUGAUGCCUAAGUUUUCGCAAAGUGAUCCAGACUCAUUUUUUCUGUUGUUCGAUCGGGUGGCAGAGGCACGCGAGUGGCCAGAUUCUGUCCGCACACUAAUGUUAUCAUCUGUGUUGACCGGUAGGGCUCAGGAAGUUUAUUCUGCAAUGUCUUCUCCUGAGUGUGAGGAUUAUGUUAAAGUUAAAGAUACAAUUUUGAAGGCAUAUGAGCGUGUUCCUGAGUUUUACAGGCAAAGAUUUAGAACGUGGAAAAAGGGCUACAAGCAAACUCACCUCGAGUUUGUGCGUGAUUUAAAGUUGUUUUUUUCUCGUUGGUGUAGGCCUGCAGAGGUGGAUGACUAUGAUAGCUUACGUGAGCUCAUUGUGUUGGAGCAAUUUAAAAAUUCGGUUCCUGAGCGCGUAGCUACACAUAUUAGUGAACAGAAGGUUCGUAAGGUACUUGAAGCAGCUGCAAUUGCAGAUGAUUAUGUAUUAAUUCACCAGAACACUAACGCUGCGGAACGCCGAGGGCAACCUGCGCAUGGGAGUGGCACUGGUGUGCCUGCUGGGGGCUUCACUGGCCAGAGUAGAACAGUUCAGUCUGGUGCUGGCAAUUUUGGUGGGUUUCGUAGUGGAGAUAAAGUUUGCGAUGUGUGUCACAAGCGGGGUCAUUUAAGGGCUGAUUGUUAUUCACUGAAAUCUAGCAGAUAUCCAUUUGGUCCGGGUAUGCAAGCGAAGGGUGCAGGCUUGGCAGUACCUGGGCAGCACCACGAGCCUAAUGCAGUCCCCGUGGAUUCACAAGUAAAGUGUGCUGAUACAGCUGUGUUAGAUCCUUAUGCACCGUUUGUAAGAAUGGGGUAUGUAUCUAUGGUGGGCAGUGAUGUUGGGGUACCUGUUAAGAUCCUGAGAGAUACUGGGGCGUUUGACUCUUUUAUCCGAGGAGGUGUGUUGCCAUUGUCAAAGGAGACUGAGGUUGGCAGUUCUGUUCUUGUGCGGGGAAUGGGAAUGAGUGUUUUGCAUGUGCCAUUACACAGUCAUCCUGCAUUGCGAUUUGUUCCAGGGUGA
rnacentral:lncRNA from 1 species